UACGUAGGGUGCGAGCGUUAAUCGGAAUUACUGGGCGUAAAGCGUGCGCAGGCGGUUUGCUAAGACCGAUGUGAAAAUCCCCGGGCUUAACCUGGGAACUGCAUUGGUGACUGGCAGGCUAGAGUAUGGCAGAGGGGGGUAGAAUUCCACGUGUAGCGGUGAAAUGCGUAGAGAUCUGGAGGAACACCGAUGGCGAAGGCAGCCUUCUGGGCCAACACUGACGCUCAUGCACGAAAGCGUGGGGAGCAAACAGG
rnacentral:rRNA from 1 species